UACGGGGGGGGGAAGCGUUGUUCGGAAUUACUGGGCGUAAAGGGCUCGUAGGCGGCCAACUAAGUCAGACGUGAAAUCCCUCAGCUUAACUGGGGAACUGCGUCUGAUACUGGAUGGCUUGGAUUUGGGAGAGGGAUGCGGAAUUCCAGGUGUAGCGGUGAAAUGCGUAGAUAUCUGGAGGAACACCGGUGGCGAAGGCGGCAUCCUGGACCAACACUGACGCUGAGUGAGCGAAAGCCAGGGGAGCAAACGGG
rnacentral:rRNA from 1 species